rnacentral:lncRNA from 1 species
AUGAUGCAGCUUGGUAUAUUAAUUAUGAUAUCUUACUUUGUUCACUUUACAGCUAGCAGUGGGCCAGAACUUUCAGUUGUGCAAUACCCUGAAGAUGCCAGUGUGCUUCUGAACUCAACGGUGUGGAUGCUCUGUGUAUUUGAGUACCCAGAGGAGGAGAACGAGGAGCCUGUCGUGUACUGGAGGAAGGGCCCUGACUAUAAUAAUCUGCAGAGUCUUCAGUCGAGCGCAGGAACUGCUAGGCCACACAUACGCAUUACAAAGAACAUACUCAAGGGAUUCUCCGUCUUGAAACUGAGCAAUGUUGAUCACAGUGCCAGUAGUUCAUAUUUCUGUGAUGUGACACUAACUCAGAACGUCCGGAGCAAACGUGGAAGUGGCACCAACCUGACCGUACACGACUUUAAAUGCAAAGACUGUAUAAGAUCAGACAAGACCUGGUGGGGUUGGUUUCUUCUUCUUGGAUACACCAUCUUUGUCACCACAGUUAUCAUAGCUUUCAGUAUUCAUCAGGGCUGUAAAAAGUGCAAGAACAGGUCAAGAAACACAGACAGCAGCGCUACCUUGCCAAGUGACUGGAUUUACGACAAGCCAUCCAGACCAGUUAACAAUGGGUUUAAUCAAGAAUAUGAAGACAUGUCGCUAAUAAGGACUUUCACUGACAUUGGAAGGAAGGUGAUAUGA